rnacentral:piRNA from 1 species
AUGUCAGCCCCACCAUAGAAGCCCCUGUAAG